rnacentral:rRNA from 1 species
GACAGAGGGGGCAAGCGUUGCUCGGAAUCACUGGGCGUAAAGGGCGCGUAGGCGGGAUGGCAAGUCGGUCGUGAAAUCCUUCGGCUCAACCGAAGAACGUCGGCCGAUACUGCCGUUCUUGAGGGAUGCAGAGGAGAUUGGAAUUCCCGGUGUAGCGGUGAAAUGUGUAGAGAUCGGGAGGAACACCGGUGGCGAAGGCGGGUCUCUGGGCAUCUCCUGACGCUGAGGCGCGAAGGCGUGGGGAGCGAACGGG